ensembl:snRNA U6 U6 spliceosomal RNA
UGUUUUGUCAAUAUGUACUAUACUAAAACUGAAACAGCACAGAAAAGAUUAACACAACUAGUGUGCAAGGAUGGCACACACGUUUGUGAGUCAUUUCAUAUUUAU